UCCUCUUUCUCAUACAUUAUUUCAGCCAAAAUGACAAAACUAAUCCUUAAACACACGUAGCCGCUAUACUGUGUUCUUGUUGCCACCGCCUCACUAUUCAAAAAGCAAAUUUUGCCUCUCCACUAUUUGAAAACAGUGCUGCAGUCUGCAGAGACGAAAAUAAACAUAUCAGAGGUAUUGAUCGUCUCUGCACUGCAGUUGUUACGGUGACAAAUAGCUGCAAUUUAUAGACGGAAGAUUUUGCAAUGAGGACAAUCUACC
rnacentral:lncRNA from 1 species